rnacentral:rRNA from 1 species
GGGUAUUGGCGGGGGUGCUUACACAUGCAAGUCGAACGAUGAAGCCCAGCUUGCUGGGUGGAUUAGUGGCGAACGGGUGAGUAACACGUGAGUAACCUGCCCUUAACUCUGGGAUAAGCCUGGGAAACUGGGUCUAAUACCGGAUAGGAGCGCCUACCGCAUGGUGGGUGUUGGAAAGAUUUAUCGGUUUUGGAUGGACUCGCGGCCUAUCAGCUUGUUGGUGAGGUAAUGGCUCACCAAGGCGACGACGGGUAGCCGGCCUGAGAGGGUGACCGGCCACACUGGGACUGAGACACGGCCCAGACUCCUACGGGAGGCAGCAGUGGGGAAUAUUGCACAAUGGGCGCAAGCCUGAUGCAGCGACGCCGCGUGAGGGAUGACGGCCUUCGGGUUGUAAACCUCUUUCAGUAGGGAAGAAGCGAAAGUGACGGUACCUGCAGAAGAAGCACCGGCUAACUACGUGCCAGCAGCCGCGGUAAUACGUAGGGUGCGAGCGUUAUCCGGAAUUAUUGGGCGUAAAGAGCUCGUAGGCGGUUUGUCGCGUCUGUCGUGAAAGUCCGGGGCUUAACCCCGGAUCUGCGGUGGGUACGGGCAGACUAGAGUGCAGUAGGGGAGACUGGAAUUCCUGGUGUAGCGGUGGAAUGCGCAGAUAUCAGGAGGAACACCGAUGGCGAAGGCAGGUCUCUGGGCUGUAACUGACGCUGAGGAGCGAAAGCAUGGGGAGCGAACAGGAUUAGAUACCCUGGUAGUCCAUGCCGUAAACGUUGGGCACUAGGUGUGGGGACCAUUCCACGGUUUCCGCGCCGCAGCUAACGCAUUAAGUGCCCCGCCUGGGGAGUACGGCCGCAAGGCUAAAACUCAAAGGAAUUGACGGGGGCCCGCACAAGCGGCGGAGCAUGCGGAUUAAUUCGAUGCAACGCGAAGAACCUUACCAAGGCUUGACAUGUUCUCGAUCGCCGUAGAGAUACGGUUUCCCCUUUGGGGCGGGUUCACAGGUGGUGCAUGGUUGUCGUCAGCUCGUGUCGUGAGAUGUUGGGUUAAGUCCCGCAACGAGCGCAACCCUCGUUCCAUGUUGCCAGCACGUAAUGGUGGGGACUCAUGGGAGAACUGCCGGGGUCAACUCGGAGGAG